rnacentral:rRNA from 1 species
UGGGGAAUAUUGGACAAUGGGCGCAAGCCUGAUCCAGCCAUGCCGCGUGAGUGAUGAAGGCCCUAGGGUUGUAAAGCUCUUUCACCGGUGAAGAUAAUGACGGUAACCGGAGAAGAAGCCCCGGCUAACUUCGUGCCAGCAGCCGCGGUAAUACGAAGGGGGCUAGCGUUGUUCGGAUUUACUGGGCGUAAAGCGCACGUAGGCGGACUUUUAAGUCAGGGGUGAAAUCCCGGGGCUCAACCCCGGAACUGCCUUUGAUACUGGAAGUCUUGAGUAUGGUAGAGGGGAGUGGAAUUCCGUGUGUAGAGGUGGAAUUCGUAGAUAUUCGGAGGAACACCAGUGGCGAAGGCGGCUCACUGAGCCAUAACUGACGCUGAGGUGCGAAAGCGUGGGGAGCAAACAGG